rnacentral:rRNA from 1 species
GACGGAGGAUGCAAGCGUUAUCCGGAAUGAUUGGGCGUAAAGCGUCUGCAGGUGGCAGUUCAAGUCUGCUGUCAAAGACCGGGGCUUAACUUCGGAAAGGCAGUGGAAACUGAACGGCUAGAGUAUGGUAGGGGCAGAGGGAAUUCCUGGUGUAGCGGUGAAAUGCGUAGAGAUCAGGAAGAACAUCGGUGGCGAAGGCGCUCUGCUGGACCAUAACUGACACUCAGGGACGAAAGCUAGGGGAGCGAAUGGG